GCUUGUCUCAAAGAUUAAGCCAUGCAUGUCUCAGUAUAAGCUUUCACACGGCGAAACUGCGAAUGGCUCAUUAAAACAGUUAUCGUUUCUUUGGUGGUUAUUGAUUCCAUGGAUAGCCGUGGUAAUUCUAGAGCUAAUACAUGCACAAAAUCCCGACUUACGAAGGGAUGUAUUUAUUAGAUACAAACCAACAUCGUGGUGAUUCAUAAUAACUUUGCGAAUCGUAUGCCUCACGGCGACGAUGAAUCAUUCAAAUUUCUGCCCUAUCAACUUUCGAUGGUAAGGUAUUGGCUUACCAUGGUUACAACGGGUAACGGGGAAUUAGGGUUCGAUUCCGGAGAGGGGGCCUGAGAAAUGGCCACCACUUCCAAGGAAGGCAGCAGG
rnacentral:rRNA from 1 species